rnacentral:lncRNA from 1 species
CGGGCUCUGAGUCCUGUCUCCGGCAGAUCGCCUUUCUGAUUGUUCUCCUGCGCAGCUGGAGGUGUAUAGCCCCUAGCCGAGCUAUGGUGCCUCAGCAGAUGUGAGGAGAUCCAAAACAGAGCUCUCAGGCGCUCAACGUUCUGUGGACCUUGCUUCCUCCAGAGGUGGCUGGGGACAGGUGCACCGAUCCACCAUGAACCAGAUUCAGGGAAAAAAAAAACCCACUGUUAGUUCUGCUGUUUGUACAAGACUGCGUUUGAUGGACCGAAGUGACUUUCAAGUUCCUGGGUGCAUUCUGAUCGUGUUUGGGAAGAUGAAGCCAUCCUUGACUUCUAAGUGCCUGGCCUUCCUCCUUGCUGAUAUGGCAGAGCUUCGCUCAGAGCUGCUCUGACUGCCUAGGUACCAGCGAAUGCUCCUUGCAGCAUUAACCAAUCCAGAGGCCUUGGCUUCUUCUCUAGUUGCUCUCCCAUCACGAAGCCUUCAUUGCUUCAGGGACCAUGUGUGUGCCUGGUGUCCACCAGUCAGAAGAGGACUUGGAAUUUGACUUACAGAUGGUUGUGAGCCACCAUGUGGGUUCUGGGAAGUGAACCAAGGUCCUCUGCUAGAGCAGUGAGUGCUCUUAACCACUGAGCCAACUCUCCAGUCCAAGCAGAACUGUUUCUGUUUGUCCCUGCAGAAAUUAGGUAGGUUUUUAUCUGACCAGUUUGCCUAAUCUGUACGGACUGGAACUGGAGGAGAGAAGGGGCUGCCAAUGAGCCGAAACUUAUUAAGUGGAAGGCGAUGGUCUAGACUAAGCACAUUUAAUUUUGUUUGGGUGUUGCAAGGCACAUGCUUUGCAGUGUUCAGCCAAACACUAAGAACAUGCAACCUACUGAGGCAGGGUGG